AGCGGCGGACGGGUGAGGAAUGCAUCGGAAUCUACCCUGUCGUGGGGGAUAACGUAGGGAAACUUACGCUAAUACCGCAUACGACCGAGAGGUGAAAGUGGGGGACCUUCGGGCCUCACGCGAUUGGAUGAGCCGAUGCCGGAUUAGCUAGUUGGUAGGGUAAAGGCCUACCAAGGCGACGAUCCGUAGCUGGUCUGAGAGGAUGAUCAGCCACAUUGGGACUGAGACACGGCCCAAACUCCUACGGGAGGCAGCAGUGGGGAAUAUUGGACGAUGGGCGCAAGCCUGAUCCAGCCAUGCCGCGUGUGUGAAGAAGGCCUUCGGGUUGUAAAGCACUUUUGUUCGGGAAGAAAUCGUACGGAUUAAUACUUUGUACGGAUGACGGUACCGAAAGAAUAAGCACCGGCUAACUUCGUGCCAGCAGCCGCGGUAAUACGAAGGGUGCAAGCGUUACUCGGAAUCACUGGGCGUAAAGCGUGCGUAGGCGGUUCGUUAAGUCUGCUGUGAAAGCCCUGGGCUCAACCUGGGAACUGCAGUGGAUACUGGCGGACUAGAGUGUGAUAGAGGAUGGUGGAAUUCCCGGUGUAGCGGUGAAAUGCGUAGAGAUCGGGAGGAACACCAGUGGCGAAGGCGGCCAUCUGGAUCAACACUGACGCUGAGGCACGAAAGCGUGGGGAGCAAACAGGAUUAGAUACCCUGGUAGUCCACGCCCUAAACGAUGCGAACUGGA
rnacentral:rRNA from 1 species